UGAGCAACCUGCCCUUGGCUUUGGGAUAACCCUCGGAAACGGGGGCUAAUACCGAAUGUUCACUGCUGGACGCAUGUUUGGUGGUGGAAAGUUUUUUCGGCUGGGGAUGGGCUCGCGGCCUAUCAGCUUGUUGGUGGGGUGAUGGCCUACCAAGGCGACGACGGGUAGCCGGCCUGAGAGGGCGACCGGCCACACUGGGACUGAGACACGGCCCAGACUCCUACGGGAGGCA
rnacentral:rRNA from 1 species